GCCACAUCUCCAGCACAGAUGGCUUUAGAGAAAGGAAGGAAAGCAGCGACAAGUGGAUGAGCAUCUUGCCAAAACUGUGAUUCCUGUUUAUGUUACAAUGCAGAGCAAACCCGCGGGAUCCUGCAAGAGGCAUCAGCUGCAGAGGAAAACGCAAGGGUUGGAACUCAGCCUGAACCUAACAGUUGUCCUUGAGACUGAGGAUCAAGAACAAAGUCUUCAAUUAUUUAACAGCAACAAAAAUCCAAAAGGCUCCGAGACCACAAGCAUCCAAAGGGAACAAAUGAAUGGAGGAUUGUCCUGUGGGCAACCAGCAGGGCUUUAGCAUAAAAGGCCACUUGUCUUGCCCGUUCAUGACCAGCUGACUCCACUGUGCACUCUGAGCAUCAGAAGCUCUUGAACCUGCCUGCUCCAGUCUUCAGUAGGCUCAGCAGUGAACUCAAACCAAUUAAAUGUUCAAAGACACCCUGGGGACCAGUCUGCCUGAGCCCAGUGCACAUCACCUCUUUGCUGUAUAUACCAUUAAACUCAGAUUUGCCCACAAGUUUAUAAACAUUUUGCAGGUUGUCAACAAAGAAAAUGAUGGGCAAUCUCAGCAAAUUCAAACCGAGUUUAUUCUUUUUUUUCCUGCAGAUCUCAGAUUUUAGCUUCCUGACAAAGUAGAUAUUCAGGAAGAUUUAGAUGUAUUAUGGGGUUUUGGGAAAAGGUCAUUUUUUAUUAUAGUAAAAUACAUAGAGCAAAAUUUGGCAUUUUUGGCAUUUUUAGAGUGUAAAAUUCAGAUGCAUUUAGUCCAGUCACAAUUGCAUACAUCCAUGUACUAACUACUUUCAGAAUCAAUUUUGAAAAAAGAUUGCUACAAUUCCAAUAAUCUUCUACCCCCUAUUAUAUAUUUAUGAAAAUUAAAUUUUUUCUCAUUUUGUUGUGUUUAACAAGGAUACAUUUCAAUUACCUAUUUCUUUUUGUUUGUUUGUUUGUUUUUUGUUUUUUUAGGGCUGCACUGAAGCAUAUAGAAGUUCCCAGGCUAGGGGUCGAAUCAGAGCUGUAGCCACUGGCCUAUGCCAUAGCCACAGCAAUACCAGAUCCGAGCUGCACAUCUGCAGCCUACACCAGAGCUCACAGUAACACCAAAUCCUUAACCCACUGAGCGGGGCCAGGGAUCAAACCCGGAUCCUCAUGGAUACUAGUUAGGUUCUUAACCCAUUGAGCCACAACAGGAACUCCUGAGUUACCUAAAUUUGAAGAUCUUCUCAUGCCAUUUAUGCACUAAAUAUGAAAGGUGAAUGUAGGGAAAUAUUUGCAAAUAUCUUCAAACUAAGUUUGCAAAAGACUAUUUUUCCUUUCACGAAUAGUCCACAUUAUUUCUUUAUUAUUACAUAUACACAUUGUUUUUCCCAUAUAUAGCCUUUUUACUAAGCCAGAAAAAAUCUAAGCAAGUGCAAUACAAAGAGAAGAGGAAAGUCAUUAAUUAUAUAUGUGUUAUUCUUCAUAAAUUCAAAGCAAAUGUCCUGCUUAUUUUAAUGUUUAAAAAACAUUAUACAACAAUGAAUAUCCUUAACUCUGUGGUGAGACAAAUACUUUGCUCCUUUCAUGUAUCCUUAAAUAUAUUUCUAUUUAUAAAAUAAACACAUUUACACACAUACA
ensembl:lncRNA